rnacentral:tRNA from 1 species
GGUUAAAUGGCUGAGGAAUAGGCGAUAGAUUGUAAAUCUAGGUAGGAAAGUUGUUUCUUUAACCA